AUUUGCAGUACAGUCCUCCGGGUCAAGUCUGAGCAGAUGCAUCUGAUUGGUCAAACCUAGGUUAUGUGUAUCUGAUUGGCUAACCUUGUGUCAGGUGCCUAGGCCUCACUUUAAGAGAUCCUGGGAAAGUUGUUAUCUGGAGUUGUCAGUUUCUAUUUCCCACCAAGAUGAAAAAGAUGGGGAUACUGAGGCCCAGUGUUCCUGUCAUCUAUUACUGUAACAAACUAUCAUCGAAUUCAAAUGCUUAAGACAGCAACAAUUGAAGCUUUGCGUACAAAGAAAUGUUUUGUUACACUUGACCCUUGAACAACAAGACGGGGAACCAAAGGAAGCAUCUGUAAGGACCAGCUGUACAAAUGGGUGCCUGUUCAAUGGGAUUGCUUGUCUAAACUGUGAAAUAGAAUAAUUGAUUGAAAUCGAGAGUUACUUUUGGCUAAGGAUUUGUCUAAAACACCAAAAGCAAUGGCAACAAAAGCCAAAAUUGACAAAUGAGAUCUAAUUAAACUAAAGAGCUUCUGCACAGCAAAGGAAACUACCAUCAGAGUGAACAGGCAACCUACAGAAUGGGAGAAAAUUUUUGCAAUCUGCUCAUCUGACAAAGGGCUAAUAUCCAGAAUCUACAAAGAACUCAAACAAAUUUACAAGAAAAAAACAAACAACCCCAUCAACAAGUGGGCAAAGUAUAUGAACAGACAUUUC
rnacentral:lncRNA from 1 species